rnacentral:antisense_RNA from 1 species
AUUGUAUCGUUUGGUCUCGAUCCAUACUGCAUGAUGCUGGAGCGUGUUACUGAAUACCUGACGGCGAUUGAAGAUUUUACCCGUCUGGAUUUAGUACGUCGCUGCUUCUAUUUAAAAGUGUGCGAAAAGCUCAGCCGUGAACGCGCCUGCGUAGGCUGGCGUCGCGCAGUGU